rnacentral:rRNA from 1 species
GGGCACUCUAGCGAGACUGCCGGUAAUAAACCGGAGGAAGGUGGGAUGACGUCAAAUCAUCAUGCCCCUUAUGACCUGGGCUACACACGUGCUACAAUGGUUGGUACAACGAGUUGCGAGUCGGUGACGGCGAGCUAAUCUCUUAAAGCCAAAUCUCAGUUCGGAUUGUAGGCUGCAACUCGCCUACAUGAAGUCGGAAUCGCUAGUAAUCGCGGAUCAGCAUGCCACGGUGAAUACGUUCCCGGGCCUU